GCCACUGUGGCACAAUGGUUUGAGUGCUGGACUACAACUCUGGAGAUCAGGGUUCGAUUCUUGCUCAGCCA